GCCGUCCCCCGGGAGGGCCGGGGCGGGCCCGGCCUGGGGCGCUCGGGCCCUCGGCCCUGAGGGGGGCCGGGCCGGCUCUGGAUCAGCGGGAGGAUGUGCUGGGAAUCGAAUUUGCUUCGGAAGGCACCGCCAAGCGCAUCUAAAUUCUUGCUUUCCGAUUCUGCAGCAAAGAACACGUCUGACUCCUCGGCCUCAGGGACAUUGUCAGUACUUUCCGUAGUGCUGUCCGGGAAUGGGAACAGCUGGUGGAGCUCUGGCAAAACACCUGGAGACCAGGACAGGAAAAACCACUUAACUCAUCCCAUCUUUGCCCAAAGCUUUGGUGUUUGUGCAGCCAAACCCAACGGGCUCCAGCCUGCACUGGAGGGCCCCUGGUCCUGCCCGUGGUGUGGGAUGCUGGAAUUGCCUCCCUGGAUGUGCACUGAGCUCUUGCUGCAGGGAACUGCCAGGCCUUAAUGGUGGUGAGUUCAUGUUCUUCUCACUGGGGAAUUGGAAAUAAUUAUUAAUUAGUAAUUGCAGAAAUGUUUUCUGAAACCUUUCCUCUUUGCUGGUAGAUCUUCUCUUUCUGCCUUGGAAAUUACAGCUGUUCCCUGCUGUCCUUUGCCCUGCCUGAAUUCCCUGCAGCUCCACUGGGAAAACCUGGGAUAACUCAGAGGGAACAGAGGUGACAUUUUUAGCUGAAAACCUGGGGCAGUUGAGAGGGGACACAAGAACUGUUUGUGUAGGAAAAUGAGAGAGGAUGUCAAGGGGAGCAAGGUGGCAUUUUUGAGGGAAAAGCUGAGGUGAUGAUUAGGGGAGAGAAUGCAAAUUUUUGGAGUAGAAAAGAGCUAAUCAGUAUUGUACUGGAAGGAAAAUUUUG
rnacentral:lncRNA from 1 species